UCGACGUUCAGUUUUAAAGAAUUUCAAAAAAUGAUUAUUAAAAUACAGCGCGAUCAAUAUAAUACUGUUUAGAUUGGCAAUUCUGGGAAAUUUUGAUCCAAAUGACCGGUGCUAUGUCAUUUUUAAGCCCUCAAGCAACACCUCCUAUAGAUAAGGCCUGUGCACUAGUUUUGUGACGUCAUCAUGAUGGGUCCACAUGAAAAUGUCAACAUUCUCGAAAUUACAAAAAAGCGACAAGUAAUCACCAUUAAUAAUGAAAAUUUAUUUCAGACAUCGUUCGUUAGGCUGCAUUGUACCGUUAAAUGUAUAUUUGCACAAAAAUUUGAUAAAAAAACAGACAUAACCUAGAAUGCCACUUUUAAGAAACAGAUAGUUAUUAAAGAUUUCUUUUAAACAUGGAUUGUUGCCUUAGAUAGUGUUGUUUAAACGGUAAGUAGACUUUUUAGAAAAAAUACAACAUUCCACAUACCAAACUUCUUAACUAUAAACUAUAAAACUAACUAUAAAAAUCGGAGGCUGUUUAAGUUUUUCUUUUCAGCUCGGCCAUUGGGGUCUUAAAAAACUGGUCAUUAUGCUUUUUGCAAUAAUUUUUGAGUAAAAUAUUGCAAAUUGGCCGUAAUAUAAAAUCAACAAUUUUGCCUGGGGAAUGUUUGGAACAUUGAUGACCCAAAAACAAAUUGUUGACUGAUUCGCCUAUGGAUUUUGCUGCUAAAGUUUUUAUUGUAAGGCGUUGAUCAAUUUCGUCUAAAAAAAUUUUUUCCAAGUCUGUAUCUAUGCACUUCAAGACAGUCAAAUAUACAAACGCACAGCAUGUCACCACAUCUGUAGUAGGGUAACACAAGCCCCCUCUGCUACUGGCAGUUAUUACACUGCUUCCAGAAAGGAGAUCAUCAGUUACUAAAAACACCUUACAAUAACUACACUUUAACUUUUUGUUUAUAGCAUAUGAGGCAUAUCCUGCAACAUACACCAAAACUGGCCAUGUAUUGUCAUCAAUAUCGUUUAAAUCAUCAUCGCUCACAAGGCAAUUGGUGAUCAAUGUAACAGAUACAAGCGGAUCUUCAUUGGUAUCCCUAAAAACUUCAUCAGGUGGAUCCUCAGGCGUUAUUUGAAAUUCGCCUUUGUUUUCAGAUUCGAAAACUUGACGAAUAGAAAUUUUGUAUUGCCCCCCUGCCAUUUGCCGAUAUUUUCCAAACCUUUCUUCCAGUUUAUCAGUCUGGAUUUUUCCGCAAAGGAAGAAUGUCAAAUUUUUGUCAGUCAGGCAAUAAUUGGAUAAUUUAAUUAAUCCAUCAGUGGUGGUUUCUAGCGCCCACUGUGUCUCAGGUGUUAAUUUUGCUGAAGUGUUCAUUUUUUUCCAUCUCUGCAACCAUUCUAGAAAUUGUUGUAAAUAUUCUAAAAUGUG